rnacentral:SRP_RNA from 1 species
GCUGGGCAUGGUGGCGGGUGCCUGUAAUCCCAGCUACUUGGGAGGCUGAGGCAGGAGAAUUGCUUGAACCUGGGAGGCAGAGGUUGCAGUGAGCCGAGAUCGCGCCACUGCACUCCAGCCUAGGUGACAGAGCAGGACUCAGUCUCAA